CUCACCGACAUCCACAUCCGUCAGUAUCCUGUCAAUGAACUGACACAGGAUCUGUCGAGGUUUCUGCACCGCCUGCUCGUACUCUGCGGCACCGGAGCUGCAGAUGACAACAACAAUGACAAUGACAAUGACAAUGACAACAACAACAACAACACGUCCAUUAGCCCUCUGACAUGUCGUUAGCAGCUUAGCUUAGCGGAGCGGAGCCGGGCACUGACCUCGCGAGCUCCUGCAGAGCCGGAAUCAUCGCGGACAUCUCGAGUCCCUCCAUGUUCUCAAGCAGCUCGGGCCGUCGGUGCUUUAGCGACUUCUUCGAGACAUUCUACGGAGUAUUCGUCCGCGGUUGGCCUUUUUCAAACUGUGGCCCAUGAGGCAGGCGAACAGCGUCAGCACCAUCUUGGGAUUGACCUCCACCAAAUCAUCAGGCAGCGCAUAAACACGCGCUCCGAUCUUACGGGCCAGUGAGAUGGCGUACCUGAGAAGAGCAGGAAGAGGGAGGAGUUAGGAGACAAUGAUUGAGUGAAAAAUACAACGAGAAAAGGCAACAAUUACAACUCUUCUUUUGUUUUACUUGGCGUUGUUGAGUUUAUCGUCAUUCUUCAGCGCUCUCUCCUCUCCUCUCUUCACCAUGUCCCACUUGACUGUGCCGGGAGCGAUGGCAUCGAUCAGGUCAAUCACUGGCAUACUGGUGCUGAUCAGUUUGUCCUGCAGAGAACAGGGAAAUGAGCGUGGUGUUGACCCAGCUGAGGAUGAUCUGAUCUCCAACCUUUUCUCCAUCGCCCAAAUCUGACAACACCAGCACUGUGUACCUGAAGGAUCACAAGCAGGAGUGAUGACUGACACCGUACAAAGGAUGAAAAUGGACAAUCCGUCUUUCCAAAACACCCGUUCUACAGCCAGUGCAAUGUCCCACGACUCCGUACGACACACGUACCUCCUCAUCAGCUGCCAGACCAGUGCCAGGGUGUGCAUGCUGCUGCCCGCGUUUAUGUUUUCUCCUCCGAUACCAACCAGAGAGAAAUGAGCCACGUUCCGGCCCAGGUCAACGGCAUAGUUACAGUUCUCCAGCUACAAACAUGUAUGACAUUUUUUUUUUAUUUAACAACAAAAGUGUUUUAAUGUGUUUUGUUGCUCUUGUGUGUUUGAAGGUUGUUGUACCUUCUUCAUUUUUGCACCCAGGAUUGGAUAAGGAGGGUUGUUGACUUUCUUCCAGUUCACAGGGACAUUAACUUUCUCAUAAAGCUGCAGAAUCACCAAACCAUCACACAGGUCACUGCAAAAGACAAACAAAUAAACAUUUGUACCAAA